rnacentral:rRNA from 1 species
AGCGAACGCUGGCGGCAGGCUUAACACAUGCAAGUCGAACGGGCACUUCGGUUCUAGUGGCAGACGGGAGAGGAACACGUGGGAACGUACCUUUCGGUUCGGAAUAAUCCAGGGAAACUUGGACUAAUACCGGAUACGCCCUUCGGGGGAAAGAUUCAUCGCCGAUAGAUCGGCCGGCGUCUGAUUAGCUAGUUGGUGAGGUAAUGGCUCAACAAGGCGACGAUCAGGAGCUGGUCUGAGAGGAUGAUCAGCAACAUUCGGACUGAGACACGGCCCAAACUCCUACGGGAGGCAGCAGUGGGGAAUAUAGGACGAGGGGAGCAAGCCUCAACCAGCCAUGCCGGGUGAGUGAUGAAGGUCUUAGGGUUGUAAAGCUCUUUUGUCCGGGAAGAUAAUGACGGUACCGGAAGAAUAAGCCCCGGCUAACUUCGUG